UUUGGGUUUUUCGGCUGCUGCUGCUUGUUUUUAGAUGCAGGCAAAGUCUAAACACUUUCACUAAGCAGCAGAGACACAUAACAACAACAACAACAACAACAAAAACCCAAUCCACCAAAGGCUACACGAAUUUCGUGUCGUACAUGACAAACUCUCAGCUCCCUCUACGUCUCUGCCUGUGUCUGUGCCUGUGCCUGUGUCUCUGGCCUAAAGGGGGGCUAAAGAGUUGGCCUAUAAUGCAGGAAUGUAGGGGGAGACGGAGACGCAGUGCCUGUGGAAGUGGAAGUGGGAGGACAACAAACUGGCUCAUCAUCUUAGCCCUGGCCAACAGCCAAAAGUACAGUGUAUACUCGAAUGCCAUAAAAGGGUAUUUUUCCCUCCCAUUUCAUAAUUAUUACUUCCUGAAAUUCUUCUUACGUCCAUGCACCCUAAUGUCAUUAAAUAUAUGUAAAUAUCCAAUGCCAUUUUGCCUCUUUUCUUUAUGCCCAAGGAACAGUUUAUGGAACACACAUUAUUCGAACACGAUUCAUUAUUCGUAAUAGCCGAUGGUUGGAAGGUCAUCGAUAAAAGUGAUCGAAUUAGGAUCGAACUAGGAUCAUCUCUGAGAUGGAAUGAACGCUUUAAAAAUAUACCAAUUGAACAUCACUUGAGGAUGAUGAAGGAGUUAGCAAACCAUCGCGAGCUUUGAGAGAGUUUAUUGCCUCUGGGACUGGAAACGCGGUUGGGGGACUGGCACCGAGGACUGGGCACUGGGACUCUGUGGCGACAUUGAUUAACGAGUGCUUAGUUAAAGCGGCACUCAGACACGCGCUGCUAAUGCCACAAUGCCACAAUGCCACCACACAACACCAGACACAUACAUACAUACAUAUUUGAAGAUACACCAACGAUACAGCAGCACAGCCGACAGACACCCAACAAUCAUCAAUGAUAGACCACAACAGCAGCAUCAAAAGUCAACAGCAAUUGCGACAAAAGCGGCAAAAUACUGCAAUAAUAAUUCUCUCUCUCUCU